rnacentral:tRNA from 1 species
AUUUCUUUAGUAUACAAGUAUAAAUGCCCUCCAAGCAUAAGGCCCUACAGGGAAGAAAUA